AGUAAGUCAUAUUAAUAAGCCAAGCGAGUGAAUAACUCCACACAAACAACAAAGCAGGAGUAUCAGAUUUUCUUUAUUUAGAUUAAUUAAAACCAACACUCAUUAACACUUGUGCCUUACCAGCACCACUUGUUGGGCUUCUGGCUCUAACAAUUAAAGUAUUAUACAUUUAUACACAUGAAUUUUAUAAACAUUAAGCCAGAGAGAUGUCAAGCUUCCAACCUUCUAGCCAAAUGCAGCUCUGAAAAUCUAGAGCCUUCUGAGGAUUUGAGGAAGUCUGUUUUAAACUGUACAGCAGACUGGUAAAUUAAUCAUAAAUUGGUUGGUAAGUAGAACGUCGUAGAUUCCUAGAAGUAUAUCAUAAGUAAAAUUACAGCGGUAUAUAUAUACUGUAUAUAGGGUCCCUUUGCAAGCGAACUUAUCCAUUACCUAGGAGGUCACAACUUGUUAUCCUCCAGUAUGUCCCAUUGUGAUCCUCCAGUAUGUCCCAUUAUCCAUAGGUAGGUGAACACUUCCAGGGCAUUUUGGGACUUUAAGCUGUACAGCCACUAGUUGGACAUGCCUUUAUUACUGCCAGUCAGACACAUUGCACAGAGUUUAUCUGAAU